GUCUACAGCCAUGCUACCCUGAACGUGUGUAAUCUCGUCUGAUCUUGGAAGCUAAGCAGGGUUGGGCAUGGUUAGUACUUGGAUGAGAGACCACCUAGGAAGACCAGGUGCUGUAGGGG
rfam:Pteropus alecto contig40553, whole genome shotgun sequence.